CAUGAUCAACUUCAUAUGCUAAAUCAAAGAUUGUCAUAUUCAAUAGAUCGCUCUGAAAUUUAGUUCAUCGCUCUGAUUCAAUAAUGUGGCUGAUUUAAAUUAAAUUUUUUUUAUCAAAAAGGGCAAGAUAAUAGAGAGUAAAGUUUCGAAAAACAAAAUUUAAGGAUGUUUAGAAAAAAAAUAUAGAGGGGAAUAGUAGUGGAAAUACAUGAUGUAUUGAACCAUUGCUGGAGAAUAUUAUAAUAAAUCCAUCGAGUGCCUCGAGCAUAAGAUGUGAAAAUUCGUCAUUGUUAUUUCUGCAAAUAAAGAAUAAAGAAUUUAGUUGGUAUUGGGAUUUGGAUUGCUUUAAGAAUUCCUACCGUUGUGAUGUUUAAGAAAUGCAAUUGUUGAUUUAAGGACUGUGGAUUUAUCCAUUUUGCGAGAUGUUGAUGAUAUUAAGCCACUUAAAUCGUUCACCAGCAUAUUGAACUGAUCACGACGUUUUUUCUCACUGAGAUUUCUGGACUUUCUGCAAAUAAUGAUUGAAAAAGUUUUAA